UACAGAGGGUGCAAGCGUUAAUCGGAAUUACUGGGCGUAAAGAGCACGUAGGUGGUUGGAUAAGUCAGAUGUGAAAUCCCCGGGCUUAACCUGGGAACUGCAUUUGAGACUGUUCAGCUAGAGUUUAGUAGAGGGAAGUGGAAUUCCACAUGUAGCGGUGAAAUGCGUAGAUAUGUGGAGGAACACCAAUGGCGAAGGCAGCCCCCUGGGAUAACACUGACGCUCAUGUACGAAAGCGUGGGUAGCAAACAGG
rnacentral:rRNA from 1 species